rnacentral:rRNA from 1 species
GACGAACGCUGGCGGCGUGCCUAACACAUGCAAGUCGAGCGAAGUUAUUCCUUCGGGAAUAACUUAGCGGCGGACGGGUGAGUAACACGUGGGUAACCUGCCUUAUAGAGGGGGAUAGCCUUCCGAAAGGAAGAUUAAUACCGCAUAACAUUGAGCUUUCGCCUGGAAGCUUAAUCAAAGGAGCAAUCCGCAAUAAGAUGGACCCGCGGCGCAUUAGCUAGUUGGUGAGGUAACGGCUCACCAAGGCGACGAUGCGUAGCCGACCUGAGAGGGUGAUCGGCCACAUUGGGACUGAGACACGGCCCAGACUCCUACGGGAGGCAGCAGUGGGGAAUAUUGCACAAUGGGGGAAACCCUGAUGCAGCAACGCCGCGUGAGUGAUGAAGGCCUUCGGGUUGUAAAGCUCUGUCUUUGGGGACGAUAAUGACGGUACCCAAGGAGGAAGCCACGGCUAACUACGUGCCAGCAGCCGCGGUAACAC